ensembl:ncRNA F23B12.12 ncRNA
AAAGCAAUUUUCAACAGGUUUCGGUGAUAUUUCAUUAUCACACUCAUUUAAGAUUCAGCACAAAACUAUUAGUUCAUU